GCCGGGCAUGGUGGUGCAUGCCUGUAGUUCCAGCUACUUGGGAGGCUGAGGCAGGAGGAUUGCUUGAGCCCAGGAGUUCGAGGCUGCAAUGAGCUAUGAUUGCACCGCUGUAUUCCAGCCUGAGCAAUAGAGUGAGACCCUGUAUCUU
ensembl:misc_RNA Metazoa_SRP Metazoan signal recognition particle RNA